CCGGCUUACCAACCCGAUGCAAACUGCGAAUACCGGAGAAUGUUAUCACGGGAGACACACGGCGGGUGCUAACGUCCGUCGUGAAGAGGGAAACAACCCAGACCGCCAGCUAAGGUCCCAAAGUCAUGGUUAAGUGGGAAACGAUGUGGGAAGGCCCAGACAGCCAGGAUGUUGGCUUAGAAGCAGCCAUCAUUUAAAGAAAGCGUAAUAGCUCACUGGUCGAGUCGGCCUGCGCGGAAGAUGUAACGGGGCUAAACCAUGCACCGAAGCUGCGGCAGCGACACUGUGUGUUGUUGGGUAGGGGAGCGUUCUGUAAGCCUGUGAAGGUGUGUCGUGAGGCAUGCUGGAGGUAUCAGAAGUGCGAAUGCUGA
rnacentral:rRNA from 1 species